GAGUUUGAUCCUGGCUCAGAUUGAACGCUGGCGGCAUGCCUUACACAUGCAAGUCGAACGGCAGCACGGGAGCUUGCUCCUGGUGGCGAGUGGCGAACGGGUGAGUAAUGCAUCGGAACGUAUCCUGGAGUGGGGGAUAACGUAGCGAAAGUUACGCUAAUACCGCAUAUUCUGUGAGCAGGAAAGCGGGGGACCUUCGGGCCUCGCGCUCUUGGAGCGGCCGAUGUCGGAUUAGCUAGUUGGUGAGGUAAAGGCUCACCAAGGCGACGAUCCGUAGCAGGUCUGAGAGGAUGAUCUGCCACACUGGAACUGAGACACGGUCCAGACUCCUACGGGAGGCAGCAGUGGGGAAUUUUGGAC
rnacentral:rRNA from 1 species